AUCAUUGGUGAAAAAUCUGGU
rnacentral:misc_RNA from 1 species